rnacentral:rRNA from 1 species
GCAAGAUACCACGGGCGCACGGCGGAUGCCUUGGCACAGGGAGCCGAUGAAGGACGCGGCAAGCUGCGAUAAUCCCCGGCGAGGAGCACACAUCCUUCGACCCGGGGGUCUCCGAAUGGGCGAACCCAUGCACAGCGGUGUGCAUAUCCCCCCGCCGAACGCAUAGGCGGGGGGAGGACAACCCGGGGAACUGAAACAUCUAAGUACCCGGAGGAGAGGAAAUCAAUCUCGAGACUCCCCGAGUAGCGGCGAGCGAAAGGGGACCGAUGGCCAAACCGUCGAGCGGGCAUACCCGGCAGGGGUUCCGCCGACGGGGUUGCAGGGCCGCGCAUCCGGGGGCUGCCGCCCCCGGGCGCAGGUCCGGCUGGGGAGCGGAACGGCAUGGGAGGGCCGGCCGCAGCGGGUGACAGCCCCGUACGCGAACCCAGACCGGACGGCGCGACGCGGUCCCUGAGUAGGGCCGGGCACGUGAAACCCGGUCCGAACCUGGGUGGACCACCAUCCAAGCCUGAGUACUACCCUGUGACCGAUAGCGCACCAGUACCGUGAGGGAAAGGUGAAAAGCACCCCGGGAGGGGAGUGAAACAGUACCUGAAACCGUGCGCCCACGAGCAGUCGGAGCAACUUUCAGUUGUGACGGCGUGCCUUUUGUAGAAUGAGCCAGCGAGUCGCUGGCGCGGGGCGAGGUUAACCGAAAGGGAGCCGGAGCGAAAGCGAGCCUUAACAGGGCGACUUGAGUCCCGCGCCGCGGACGCGAAGCCGGGUGAGCUAUCCGUGGGCAGGCUGAAGCGGGGGUAAGACCCCGUGGAGGGCCGAACGCACGUCGGUUGAAAACGGCGGCGAUGACCUGCGGAUAGGGGUGAAAGGCCAAUCAAACCCGGAGAUAUCUCGUUCUCCCCGAAAUAGCUUUAGGGCUAGCGUCGCGCGUUCACCGCCGGAGGUAGAGCACCGGAUGGACGAGGGGGCUUCGCCGCCUACCGAAUCCAACCGAACUCCGAAUGCCGGCGGCCCAGAGCGCGGCAGUCAGAGCAUGUGGGCUAAGCUGUGUGCUCGAGAGGGAAACAGCCCGGACCGCCCGCUAAGGUCCCCAAGUUCCAGCCGAGUGGCAAAGGAUGUGCGUCCGCCCAGACAACCAGGAUGUUGGCUUAGAAGCAGCCAUCCAUUCAAAGAGUGCGUAACAGCUCACUGGUCGAGUGGACAUGCGCCGACAAUACACGGGGCUAAGCUGGACACCGAAGCGGCGGGAUUUUAAUUCAUUAGAAUCGGUAGGGGAGCUUCCCAUGGGCGGAGAAGCCGGAGGGCGACCGACGGUGGAGCGCAUGGGAGUGAGAAUGCUGGCAUGAGUAGCGAGAGACGAGAGAGUAACUCGUCCGCCGUGAACCCGAGGUUUCCUGGGCAAGGCUAAUCCUCCCAGGGUCAGUCGGGGGCUAAGGCGAGGCCGGUAGGCGUAGCCGACGCGCAGCAGGCAGACAUUCCUGCACCGCGCACGCGGCGCUACGACCGACGGGGCGACGGAUGGGGGUGGCUCGGCGGGGUUCUGGACGUCCCCGUGAUGGAGCGCGGCCCGCGGACCAGGGAAAUCCGGUCCGCAGAAGGGCGAGGCUCCGGACGAAGCGACUGAGCGAAGCGAGUGAGCCCGAGGUCCCUAGAAAAACCCCUAGGCAGGCGCGUGCGCGCCCGUACCGCAAACCGACACAGGUGGGUGGGUAGAACAUACCGAGGCGAUCGGGUCAACCAUGGUCAAGGAACUCGGCACAAUGGCCCCGUAACUUCGGGAGAAGGGGUGCCCGCGCGUACGUGAACCGGCUUGCCCGGGGAGCGGAGGCGGGCCGCAGUGGAGAGGCCCAAGCGACUGUUUACCAAAAACACAGGACUCUGCAGAAGCCGCAAGGCGACGUAUAGGGUCUGACGCCUGCCCGGUGCCGGAAGGUCACGCGGAGGAGUUAGCCGAUUCGGCGAAGCCCCGAAGCCAAGCCCCGGUAAACGGCGGCCGUAACUAUAACGGUCCUAAGGUAGCGAAAUUCCUUGUCGGGUAAGUUCCGACCUGCACGAAAGGCGCAACGACUUGGGCGCUGUCUCGACCAUGGACCCGGUGAAAUUGCACUGGUCGUGAAGAUGCGACUUACCCGCGGAAGGACGGAAAGACCCCGUGAACCUUCACUGCAGCUUGGCAUUGGCCGCUGGUCCCGCGUGUAGAGGAUAGGCAGGAGGC